rnacentral:rRNA from 1 species
AUUGAACGCUAGCGGGAUGCCUUACACAUGCAAGUCGAACGGAGUGGCGAACGGGUGAGGAAUGUAUCGGAACGUGCCCAGUAGCGGGGGAUAACUACGCGAACGCGUAGCUAAUACCGCAUACAAUUGGAGCGGUCGAUAUCGGAUUAGCUAGUUGGUGGGGGAACGGCGCACCAAGGCGACGAUCCGUAGCUGGUUUGAGAGGACGACCAGACACACUGGGACUGAGACACGGCCCAGACUCCUACGGGAGGCAGCAGUAGGGAAUGUUGGACAAUGGGGGAAACUCUGAUCAAGCCAUCCCGCGUGAGCGAUGAAGGCCUUCGGGUUGUAAAGCACUUUUGGCAGGAAAGCGGUACCUGACGAAUAAGCACCGGCUAACUACGUGCCAGCAGCCGCGGUAAUUC